CCCCCCCGCCCCCCCCUCCUCCUCCUCCUCUGCAGCCUGAUUGAUGGAGUGGAUGACGUUGGAAAUAAAAGACUCCCUUUCCACUGAAAACACAGCAGGUGUUACAGCUACAUCCCUUCUAUUGCUGUUUAAGAAGAAACAAACAGAGUCGGUGUUUAUUUUUUACCUUACUUCACGGUGACUUUGCCCUGGAAGGAAUGCAUUUGGUUUCCUCUGUAACUCAGCUUGAAGCGACCAGAAAUAUCAGCCUCCUUUUGAAUCAUGCAUGAAUAGUCAGACUGAGUGGCGCCAUCUGCUGGUACAACCAUGGAGCUCUUUGAUUACUAAAUCAGUGUUCCUAUAUUAGAUCUUACAAACAGGGAAUAUUAUCAGCCACAAACAGAGGGUGUUAAAGGUUGCUUGUUUACUAAUGUCCCAAUGGUUUACAAAUGUAACCCUGUCCUCCCUGCAAGAGCCUGUACCCUCUUUUCUCUGCUCUGCCUCCUUCUGUUCCCUCCUCUGCGUCCACUCUCUUGAAUGGUGCUAAGUGUUAGAGAGUCCUGCUUUCUGUAUUUGUUUUUCAGCAGGAAGGUUCAUCAAGGCCUUGAAGGUGCAGCCCUUUCAGAGUGAUUGACACUGGAGGUGCCCUCUGCUUUGCCUGCACACAGCUGUUGACACGCAGGAGAGGACGUUCCUGAGGAGGAGCAGCUGAGGUCCAAAGAUCAGAAGAGCAUCGAGGUCAAAUCACAACACUCCCAUCAUCCAUAACCUGCCGCCAGGCUGGAGGAGGCGUCUCGGUCGCCGGUGACGAGCGGAGCAAAUACGAGGAGGACAUCAGCUACCUGAACAACAGCUGGAUGACAAGGAGAGAGAUCAGACCAACCUGCAGCAGCACAAGACGGUACAGAUAUGUUUUAGGAGAAAGUGUUUAAAGUCUGCAUCUCAAGGUCUGCAGAAACAUACAGACUGUUUCACGUGUGUGUGUGUGUGUGUGUGUGUGUGUGUGUGUGUGUCUGAGCUGAACAGUCUGCAGAGAAAGAGAGCUACCAAGUCCUCAACCUGCUGCUACGAGACCUCAGUGACAUCGGCGCCAUCAUCGGCACCAGUGAUGUCAACACAGCUGUGAGAACGGACACACACAAUGCUCAAUGUCUUUAACUUCCCCCUCAUGCUCAGUCCUCAGAGUCAGAGGGGAACGGCUCGGAGGUGGAGCACGCAGGCCGACGUCCACUUAAACAUUCGGGCCAAUGACAAGGAGGCAUGAUGGAGACGAGGACAUCAAGGUGAGGACACACUUUGUAUUGUCUGUAAUCCGUUUCUACAUCUCCACAAAACUCUGGAGGAGCAGCUGGAGAACCACCACAAGCAGCUCAGCCGCCUCAGAGACCAGAUCCGAGACCAGCAGAGGAUGAUGGACGAGCUCACAGAAGGCCUGAGACGGAGCAGAUCACCUCUGAGAUGCUGAAGAACACGAUUGAGGAUCGGGGGAGCGUGGAGGAGGAGGAGCGCAGGAGGAGAAGUUUCAGACGGCUCCGUUAGAGGAGAUCGCCGCUCACUGUGGCGCCCGGACAUCGCUGCUUCAGUCCGAGGUCUUCGAUCUGAUCAUCCGUCCGGUCACUUGCAGCCGCGCUCCACGCCGCUCUGUGAGAUGAAGUUCCCCGACCUCUGUGUUUAUUAGACGAUCAGCAGUUAUGUGUUCAGUAUCCAGGUAGGAGAGGAGACAAGGAGACAAGGAGGCAGGAGAGGGGGCAAGAAGGAGACAGGGAGACAAGGAGGAAGAAUGCAGGAGACAAUGAGGCAGGAGAGGAGACAAGGAGACAGGAGAGGAGA